rnacentral:misc_RNA from 1 species
GUCUGACUUACUCAGUCCACUACUUGCAGUAUGUCAACAAAUUCGUGCCCAACGAUUCCUUCCAUAUUUCUCCCAAUUGAAUGCGUGGCUGCCCUCCCAAAGAUGAAAAUUUCUACCUCAUGAAGAGAAUCACCAGCAGGGUAUUGUAUAAACCAGAGAGAUAAGGGUAGCAAGGUAGGAGAAAUUCAGGAAAAUUUUGUCAAAAAGGGGAAAUACUACCA